UACAGAGCCCUCGAGCGUUAUCCGGAUUUAUUGGGCGUAAAGAGUCUGUAGGUGUUUCGUUAGGUUUUCUGUUAAAUCUCCAGGGCUUAACCUUGGAGCUGCAGAAAAAACCGGCGAAAUGGAGGACGUUAGAGGCUGAUGGAACGGUCGGUGUAGGGGUGAAAUCCGUUGAUAUCGACCGGAACACCAAAAGCGAAGGCAUUCAGCUGGGACGAUCCUGACACUGAGAGACGAAAGCGUGGGGAUCAAAAAGG
rnacentral:rRNA from 1 species